rnacentral:rRNA from 1 species
GACGAACCGAGCGAACGUUAUUCGGAAUUACUGGGCGUAAAGCGUGCGCAGGCGGUUGUGCAAGACAGGUGUGAAAUCCCCGGGCUUAACCUGGGAAUUGCAUUUGUGACUGCACGGCUAGAGUGUGUCAGAGGGGGGUAGAAUUCCACGUGUAGCAGUGAAAUGCGUAGAUAUGUGGAGGAAUACCGAUGGCGAAGGCAGCCCCCUGGGAUAACACUGACGCUCAUGCACGAAAGCGUGGGGAGCAAACAGG